rnacentral:siRNA from 1 species
CACCAAUAACCUACCUGGUGGGCC